rnacentral:rRNA from 1 species
UACGAAGGGUGCAAGCGUUACUCGGAAUCACUGGGCGUAAAGCGUGCGUAGGCGGUUCGUUAAGUCUGCUGUGAAAGCCCUGGGCUCAACCUGGGAACUGCAGUGGAUACUGGCGGACUAGAGUGUGAUAGAGGAUGGUGGAAUUCCCGGUGUAGCGGUGAAAUGCGUAGAGAUCGGGAGGAACACCAGUGGCGAAGGCGGCCAUCUGGAUCAACACUGACGCUGAGGCACGAAAGCGUGGGGACGCAAACAGG